rnacentral:rRNA from 1 species
GACGAACGCUGGCGGCGUGCUUAACACAUGCAAGUCGAACGGAAAGGCCCUGCUUUUGUGGGGUGCUCGAGUGGCGAACGGGUGAGUAACACGUGAGUAACCUGCCCUUGACUUUGGGAUAACUUCAGGAAACUGGGGCUAAUACCGGAUAGGAGCUCCUGCUGCAUGGUGGGGGUUGGAAAGUUUCGGCGGUUGGGGAUGGACUCGCGGCUUAUCAGCUUGUUGGUGGGGUAGUGGCUUACCAAGGCUUUGACGGGUAGCCGGCCUGAGAGGGUGACCGGCCACAUUGGGACUGAGAUACGGCCCAGACUCCUACGGGAGGCGGCAGUGGGGAAUAUUGCACAAUGGGCGGAAGCCUGAUGCAGCAACGCCGCGUGCGGGAUGACGGCCUUCGGGUUGUAAACCGCUUUCGCCUGUGACGAAGCGUGAGUGACGGUAAUGGGUAAAGAAGCGCCGGCUAACUACG